rnacentral:rRNA from 1 species
GAGACGGCAGCUACACAUGCAGUCGGACGGUAGCACAGAGGAGCUUGCUCCUCGGGUGACGAGUGGCGGACGGGUGAGUAAUGUCUGGGAAACUGCCCGAUGGAGGGGGAUAACUACUGGAAACGGUAGCUAAUACCGCAUAACGUCGCAAGACCAAAGUGCGGGACCUUCGGCCCCAACACAAUCGGAUGUGCCCAAAAGGGAUUAGCUUGUAGCCGGAGCAACCACCCACCUAGGCGACGAUCCCUAACCGGUCCGAGAGGAUGACCAGCAACACACGAACUGAGACACGGUCCAGACUCCUACGGGACGCAGCAGUGGGGAAUAUUGCACAAUGGGCGCAAGCCUGAUGCAGCCAUGCCGCGUGUAUGAAGAAGGCCCUCCGGGUGUAAAGUACUUUCAGCGGGAAAAAAGCUGCUGAAGUUAAUAACCUCAGCAAUUGACGUUACCCGCAGAAGAAGCACCGGCUAACUCCGUGCCAGCAGCCGCGGUAAUACGGAGGGUGCAAGCGUUAAUCGGAAUUACUGGGCGUAAAGCGCACGCAGGCGGUCUGUUAAGUCAGAUGUGAAAUCCCCGGGCUUAACCUGGGAACUGCAUUUGAAACUGGCAGGCUUGAGUCUCGUAGAGGGGGGUAGAAUUCCAGGUGUAGCGGUGAAAUGCGUAGAGAUCUGGAGGAAUACCGGUGGCGAAGGCGGCCCCCUGGACGAAGACUGACGCUCAGGUGCGAAAGCGUGGGGAGCAAACAGGAUUAGAUACCCUGGUAGUCCACGCCGUAAACGAUGUCGACUUGGAGGUUGUUCCCUUGAGGAGUGGCUUCCGGAGCUAACGCGUUAAGUCGACCGCCUGGGGAGUACGGCCGCAAGGUUAAAACUCAAAUGAAUUGACGGGGGCCCGCACAAGCGGUGGAGCAUGUGGUUUAAUUCGAUGCAACGCGAAGAACCUUACCUACUCUUGACAUCCAGCGAACUUGCCAGAGAUGGCAUGGUGCCUUCGGGAACGCUGAGACAGGUGCUGCAUGGCUGUCGUCAGCUCGUGUUGUGAAAUGUUGGGUUAAGUCCCGCAACGAGCGCAACCCUUAUCCUUUGUUGCCAGCGAUCCGGGCCGGAACUCAAAGGAGACUGCCGGUGAUAAACCGAAGAAAGGUGGGGAUGACGUCAAGUCAUCAUCACCCCUACGAGUAGGGCUACACACGUGCUACAAGCGCACACACAAAGAGAACCAACCUCGCGAGAGCAACCGAACCUCAUAAAGCCGCCGAAGUCCGCAUCGGAACCUGCAACCCCACUCCGUGAAGCGAAACCGCCAAGAAUCGUGGAUCAGAAUGCCACGGUGAAUACGUUCCCGGGCCUUGUACACACCGCCCGUCACACCAUGGGAGUGGGUUGCAAAAGAAGUAGGUAGCUUAACCCUCGGGAGGGCGCUACCACUUGAUCGUUUU